rnacentral:rRNA from 1 species
AUUGAACGCUGGCGGCAUGCUUUACACAUGCAAGUCGAACGGCAGCGCGGGCUUCGGCCUUGCGGCGAGUGGCGAACGGGUGAGUAAUGCAUCGGAACGUGCCCAGUAGUGGGGGAUAGCCCGGCGAAAGCCGGAUUAAUACCGCAUACGACCUGAGGGUGAAAGCGGGGGACCGAAAGGCCUCGCGCUAUUGGAGCGGCCUAUGUCGGAUUAGCUAGUUGGUGGGGUAAAGGCUUACCAAGGCGACGAUCCGUAGCUGGUCUGAGAGGACGACCAGCCACACUGGGACUGAGACACGGCCCAGACUCCUACGGGAGGCAGCAGUGGGGAAUAUUGGACAAUGGGGGCAACCCUGAUCCAGCCAUGCCGCGUGCGGGAAGAAGGCCUUCGGGUUGUAAACCGCUUUUGUUCGGGAAGAAAUCCUCUGGGCUAAUACCCCGGGGGGAUGACGGUACCGGAAGAAUAAGCACCGGCUAACUACGUG